GAUGAAGAACGUAGCGAAAUGCGAUACGUAAUGUGAAUUGCAGAUUUCAGUGAAUCAUCGAAUCUUUGAACGCACAUUGCGCCCUGUGGUAUUCCGCAGGGCAUGCCUGUUCGAGCGUCAUUUCAACCCUCAAGCCCCGCUUGGUGUUGGGCCCCGCCCGCUGUGGCCGGCCCUAAAGACAGUGGCGGCGCCGCCUGGCCCUCAGCGUAGUACAUCUCUCGCUCCAGGGUCCGGUGGCCGCCUGCCAGAACCCCCCAACUCUGUGGUUGACCUCGGAUCAGGUAGGGAUACCCGCUGAACUUAAGCAUAUCAAUAAGCGGAGGA
rnacentral:misc_RNA from 1 species